rfam:Fischerella sp. JSC-11 ctg111, whole genome shotgun sequence.
CAAAAUUAAAUAGCAAAGCCGGAGACAGCAGGUGCCGUUGGCUUAAUACCCUGCCGAGGUUUGCAUCCAGAUUGCUUGAAUUUCUACCCUUCUUUGGUGUGGUAGUUCUGGCAUCAGGAUAAGGGUAGUUGCAAAUCUACCUUUCAACCAAAACCCCGGCUAUGAGCCUGGGGUUUAUUGUUUUCGGU